rnacentral:sRNA from 1 species
UCGAAAAGCAACAACGAAGCAAGACGAGA